CCUGACAUCUCGUUCAACACUUCCUGUAGGAUCUCCGUGUGCCCUUGAGUUGAGUUGGCUUCGUGCGAGGAAGGGGAACAUCGCAACCAGAACCGGGUCGAUAAUCAUUUCGGACAUGCGGUGCACAUGUAUCACCACGGCUGUAAAGACUAGUGAUUUGAGUUACUGAAGCCUUCCUGUCGCCUCGAACCGAACUGGACGUUCAUCUCGGAGAAAAAAAAAUAAAAUAAUAAAGUGCGAGUAUGGGUGUGAGAAAGACCAACCGAUCCCGAGGGCCUUCAUCUCAUUGAGGAUUGGGAAGGCCUGCGCUCUGGCCAGUGAGCCGCACCGACGCAGUACCUUCAGCACGGUGUUAAAUGUCAGCAAGUUGGGCUUCACCUUCUGUUGAGCCAUCUGCUUCAGCAGGUCCUGCGCACACACACACACAUAUAUGCAUAUUAUACAUACAUAAAACACACACACACAUAUGAUGAGAACCCCAGUGUGUAUAGGAUUUAAACAAUCCUAUCCAACUUACAACAAUCAGCUCCCAUUUAUCGCUGUAUUUGUCCUUCACUUCUGCAGCGGCGAUGACGAGCGCAUUGAAGGUGUGCACGUCAGCUACAGGGGAAAAAGAACGAUUCAUUGAUCUGAAGUAACUGUGUGCAUAAUUAUUCGCCUUUCUAUACUUAUUUUCAGGAGUCUUUGCAUAUGCAUUUCACCAUAGUAAGUAGUCGUAGCAAGUCUCACCGGUCAGUCGGUUGUUCAGCAGGUCCGUGUACAUGUCGAAAGCUUUGGGGUAAGCGCCGUACUGUGGGUUCGAAAACAAAAAUGUUCACAUACAGCUUUAUGUUUAAAAAUAAAUAAAUAAAUUUUAAAAAAAAGAUGCUAAAAUUCAAACCCAGACCUUCACCAUGCCCCUAAUGAGCGCGCCGUAUGAUCGACUGGUCCGCUCCGGCACGGUGUUAAAGAUCCUCUCUGCGUUGUUGUUCUCCCUGUCGGUGAGAAGAUGGAUGAGAUUCAUUGUGGUCUUUUUCUCUGUUACGCAACAUUUAUCUCACGACAAUAAAUAACGCUAAUACACAACUGAAUAUCAAAUUUACCCAGGCGGGAAAAAAAAUAAAUACAUAUAUUUAAAAAAAAAAAAAAAGAAA